GACGAACGCUGGCGGCGUGCUUAACACAUGCAAGUCGAACGGACAGGCCCUGCUUUUGUGGGGUGCUCGAGUGGCGAACGGGUGAGUAUCACGUGUGUAACCUGCCCUUGACUUUGGGAUAACUUCAGGAAACUGGGGCUCAUACCGGAUAGGAGCUCUUGAUGCAUGGUGGGGGUUGGAAAGUUUCGGCGGUUGGGGCUGGACUCGCGGCUUAUCAGCUUGUUGGUGGGGUAGUGGCUUACCAAGGCUAUGACGGGUAGCCGGCAUGAGAGGGUGACCGGGGACAAUGGUACUGAGGGAGGGCCCAGACUCCUACCGGCGGCAGCAGUGGGGAAUAUUGCACAAUGGGCGGGAGCCUGAGGCAGCGACGCCGCGUGCGGGAUGACGGCCUUCGGGGUGUAAACCGCUUUCGCCUGUGACGAAGCGUGAGUGACGGUAAUGGGUAAAGAAGCACCGGCUAACUACGUG
rnacentral:rRNA from 1 species